rnacentral:rRNA from 1 species
GACGAACGCUGGCGGCGUUCCUAAUACAUGCAAGUCGAACGCAGUGGGGACGGGUGAGUAACCCGUGGGUAACCUCCCAUCAGAGGGGAUAACACUUGGAAACAGGUGCUAAACCGAUACUGAUGGAUGGACCCGCGGUGCAUUAGCUAGUUGGUGAGGUAACGGCUCACCACGGCCACGAUGCAUAGCCGACCGGAGAGGGGGAUCGGCCAAACUGGGACUAGGGCACGGCCCAAACUCCAACGGGAGGCAGAAGAAGGGAAUCUUCGGCAAUGGACGAAAGUCUAACCGAGAAACGCCGCGUGAGUGAAGAAGGUUUUCGGAUCGUAAAACUCUGUUGUUAGAGAAGCGGUAUCUAACCAGAAAGCCACGGCUAACUACGUGCCAGCAGCCGCGGUAAUUC